UGGGAGGCUGAUACACAAAUUGGGCUGAAGUGUAGUGCUCUAAUUGUCACUACGCCUCCCUAAAGCAAACUGCCUUUUGAUGACUGGGACAAAUUGAGUGAAAUUGUAAUGGACAGAUACGGGGCGAACAGUU